UCGUGCUGCGUACGAUGACAUUUUUAUUAAUUUAAUCGGACGAACGAUGUCAAAGAGGUUCAAUUUCAAAAAUUCGAGGUGUGAUUACCGACUGAUCCAUCGUCUUAAGGCUCGUGAACCAGUUGUACUUUGGCCUAUUAUUUUCCGACACAUGUAAAGCUACUAACUGGUUCAGGCAAACUCUCGGGUAUCGGUGUGAGGACAUUUUCAGGAUUUUCAUUAGGAAGAUUAGAGUUCUUUUCAAUAACAAUUGUGUGACCGCGGAGUUACCGGUUUCUAAUCUAACCAUGUAACCUGUUUGAGGCCCCAAAUAUUUGAUCCAUGCAGUAACGUUGAGUCUACAACGCUCAGCAGUUUUUUCCUUGCUUCCCGCAGUCGUUCAUUUUGGCCACAAUCCGCCAAAUCACUCCUAGUGCUAUUCUCGUUUUAGAUAUAGUUUCUUUGCAAGCUUCAUAUAUUUGAUCCGGCGUAUUUUCUUCGUUCGACCAGCUUUCUUAUAAAUCAUAACUUUGGUUUUAUAUUAAUUUACGACCAGACUAUUUUCUUCACAAUAUAUUCCUAGAGUAUCUAGUUUUCUCUGGAGAUUUAAUACAUCUCGCGACAAUAAUAUUAGAUCGUUUGUAAAAAGCAAAAUCUCCAUGUUUUCUUUGAUUCUCUUAUGACCGUGGGCUUGGAAAAAACUUUCGAUAUCUGUUAGCAGCGGGGAAAACAACGCUGGGCUUGCGGGACCUCCCUGUAAAACUCCAGCCGUAGUUUCUAUAACAUUAGAUUUUUUUUAUUUCAUUGAUUCUAAUCCUGAAGGAGGCCGCUGUGUAAAAGUUGGAGUGUACGGAUUAUUUUUGUGCUGAAUCCAGCUCUGUGCAACUUAUCCCAUAAAACUCCGUGCAUCACUGAGUCGAAAGUGCGCUUAAAAUCCACAAAGGCUGCGUAUAGUUUACCUCUCGGUUGGGACAGUGCUAGGCCAAUUUAAAUAUUGAGUACGAAUGUAUUAUCGUCACAGGAUCGCCUGGGUCGAAACGCUGCUUGAGCCUCGGGUAAGAUGUCGAAUUUUUCGCACCAUGAAUUAAGUCUUUUAGCAAUUAUCGUGGUGAAGAGGUUUGCUGUUGAAUUUGCUAGGGUUAUUCCUCUAUAAUUUAACGGGUCGUUGCGGCGUCACCUUUUUUAUGAAACGUGACUAUUUCAGAUUCUGCACAUCCUGUCGGUAUGUUUGCUGUUGCCUAAAAUUUUGUCAAUUAGAGCAAUUAUCUUUAUCAGCCACUUCGUCGUUAUUGGUAGUGCUUUAUAAAAUUCUGUUGCGAUCGAAUCUGGACCUGGGGCUUUUCUUACUUUUGCUUUGCUCGAUACCUUUAAAACCUCGUCAACUGUAAUUUCAUCAUCUGGAAUCGGGACUCUAGUUUCUAAAAAAUUCCUGUCUGCGUCGGUUCUCUAAGGGGCAAAAGGUCGUCAUAGAAUUUCUGCCAGUCUUCAUCCGAGAUAGGGCAAGGUUUAAAAUUUCUCAGUUUAAAACGUUUAAAAGUCGACCAAAAAGUGCAUUUCCAGCAUUUGACAUAGCUUGUUGUCUUUCUUUUAUGAAUUCUUUUUUCUUGGUUUUGAUGAGUUGAAUAUAAUCUUUUCUUGCUUGUGUGUAAUCUAUCAGAUGUAUCGGGUUUUUCGAACAUUUUCCAUUUGCGAUACGCUUGGUUGGUGCUGGUUUUCUUUGAACGGUAUUCUUUGUUGAACCAGAGUUUGUUACGGCUAAAUCCUUGUUUUUUUUUAAUUUUAUGAAACAUGUUUAGUUCUCGCGCUACUGCAGAUUUAAUUGCUUCAGAGAUUCUAUGUUGCUAUCUGUUGAUAUUUUGUAUAACAAUUGAGAUAACCGAUCACUGUAUCUAUCAGCUUGUUCAGAGUUCCAUCAUCUAAGUGUUUGAGUUGUAACCUCUAGAACCGCGGAUAAGGAAAUAUCAGAUCGGCCCUAUUUGUCCAGGCCUAGUCUAUUGUUGUAUUGCUUUUACCCCAAAACGUAAAUUCCCCUUUACUGUCCGAAUUAUAACGUCCGUUUAGCGUCAUGCCUUUAAAGCUUCAUUUUCAAUUUCCAGUUAUUCAUUUUCUAUUUCAGUUUUCUUCAUUGUUUUCUUGGAAUCUUUCCAAGAUUUCCUUAAAUCUCUGCGUAAUCAAUCUUUAUUUUUUUUACGUGUCUGAUGUGAGGCCUCGAAAUAUUUUAAGAACUUUCGAGAGGUCCGACACGAAUGCUUCAUCUCGUAAGAUAACUUUAGAUUUCUGAUUGUUUGCGUUGUGAUCCGUUUUUAUUGUGUAAGUUAUCCUUAAUUUUCGUGUCGGACUUGCCGCUGCGUGUGCCGCUUCUUCUCCCGACCAUGUUAGACCGCGCUGUUCCUAACCUCACUCUUGAUUUUGUUUUCAGCUAAUAUAUUCAGUUAUGUCGCACCUUUACCAACUAUGAUGUACAUUUCCACUCACUAAAUCCGUGAUUCCGAAUCUUCUUAACCACUAAUUUUGAUCUACUAUUUGCACUUUUUCACUUUUCAACUCUUUAUUUGGGAGCCUCAAGAAAGCCACCGGUAUACAAUACCGACCUUCCCAGCGUUUUCCCCCGUUAUUAUAAAAUGUAUGAUGAAAUGUGAGAAAAAUCUUUAUUUUAACAUCCUAGCGUCUGAGACAAGAAGUCUGUAAUAGUUGUUGUUGUUGUUGUUCUUUUAUUAUUAUAUUUAAUCUAUGUCUAUAUCUCUACGAGUCCUGUCGACGACGGAACAGAGCUUGAUCGAUAAUUUUAAUUGAACUACUCUUCUGAACAUCCGUAUACGGAAUUAAAAGAGAAAAAAAAAAUACAAACGUUUCGUCAAAUUUUUCGUUUGAACGAAAUUCUUAAUAUCAAUGAAUGCGUGUCUGCGUGUAUGUUCGAUGAGGUUUUAAAAAGAACACUCGUAUGUACAGUAUUAUAAAUGUCGGCGAUAGUGCUAUCGUCAAUCGUUCUGCGAAAAUAAAUUAUUUUACUAUUAAA
rnacentral:lncRNA from 1 species